rnacentral:rRNA from 1 species
AUACGGAGGGUCCAAGCGUUAUCCGGAAUCAUUGGGUUUAAAGGGUCCGCAGGCGGUCAAUUAAGUCAGAGGUGCAAGCCCAUCGCUCAACGAUGGAACUGCCUUUGAUACUGGUUGACUUGAGUUAUACGGAAGUAGAUAGAAUAAGUAGUGUAGCGGUGAAAUGCAUAGAUAUUACUUAGAAUACCGAUUGCGAAGGCAGUCUACUACGUAUAUACUGACGCUGAGGGACGAAAGCGUGGGGAGCGAACAGGAUUAGAAACCCUAGUAGUCC